AAACCCGCUCCCUGCACGGGUGGAGGAUGGGGAGGGGGCUGGGAGGAGUCAAGAGGGAGGGAAACAGCAAUCACGCGGUUAGCCUGGGUUUGGGUGGCCACUGUGAGAACAGAGGAGCGGAGGUAGCAUCGGGGGAGAAGCCCAGGAUUGACAACACAGUUCUCACAAGCCUUAAAUCCAGGGCAGGAAUUUGGUCCGAGUGCCUGAACUUGCUAUCCAGAGGAUAACACGCCCAGCAAGAGGUGAAGCUCUCCUUGAUGGGAUGUGAGGGAGAAAGCUAGCUGGCGUACGGACUCACUCUAUAACCAGCCAAUCCGCUCGAGCUGUUCAUCGCAAAGAAUCACCGCUGUGGUUCCCGGUCCCUGACCUCUGCUCCACCUCCGACACUGGGCCCUCGCUGGGACUCACCCUGGACGUCCGUGGAGAUCCUGCAGCCCUCUUAACUCUCUUCUUUAAAAGAAAGUCCUACUCCAGCAGAACAUCAGAGCGAGGGGUUAUGACAAGAUCUCACUAUGUGGCCCCGGGGUGACUUUCAGUCCUGUUCUCACCCCCCAAGUGCUGGGAUUUAAACCUGCUGCCACCCCCAGCAGGAGAACAGCUUUGAAAGUGCUUUGAUCAACUGUUUCUGAAGCCCAGGCGCAGUGUGAGAGCUUGCUUCUUUCACUAAUGUUUUCUUCUUGUAUUAACAUUGCUUUGCAACUAGGCCAUGGCACAGGAGUGCUCUGUCCCCAAACUCAAUUCUAGGGGAGACUUUCUUUUCUUUUCUUUUUUUUCUUUUCUUUUUUCUUUAAAAUGUGUUUAAUGCAAGUCUGGGUGGGGGGAAAAAAAAAACAAACAAACCUCAGACUGGCAGAACAUGUUUUCAGGCAAAGUAUCAGAAUAAGUAAAAUGAGAUAGACAGGAAAAAAAAAUCCACAAGCAUUGACAAGUUUGGGUGGGGUAGAGUGGCAUUUUUAUGUAUGACUGUAGCAGUACAAAUUGCCACACCGCCUAUGGAAAGCAGUGUGGCGUUUCCCGACAAUGCUCGACAAAUGUACCGUCCUGGCCCAGAAGCUCCACUGGAAGGUGUGCCUUCAAUACUGAGGCCCAAAAACACUCAGCAGAAGGUCCACAGGGAACGCUCUGAGUGGUCCCAGCCAUGCAUCUCUAAUAGGGAAUAGCACUUAUGUUCAUUCAUGUUGUGACAGAUAUGCUGUGCUGCAUUUAUUUAGGGGGAUUCUAAUCAGUUAUGUGAAGUUAGAAGCUGCUACGGAACCAGGCGGUGGUAGCACACGCCUUUAAUUCCAGCACUCAGGAGGCAGAGGCAGGUGGAUCUCUGUGAGUUCGAGGCCAGCCUGGUCUACAAGAGCUAGUU